AUGGGGCGGCCGUGGGAACGCGGGGAGGGGGCGCCACGGAUGAGCGACGGCGCCGCCGGCCAAUCGCAGCCCGCGCCUCCCGCGGCUCGCCCAAUGGGAGAGGAGAGGGGGCGGGUUUGGGGGGCCCGGGGAGAGGCCACGGGGGGACGUGGGGGGGGCGGCUCGGCCCUGCCGGGCCCUGGGGGGGAGGGGAGGGGUGGGGAGGGGGAGGAUGGGGAGGGGGCACGGAGCCGAGGGGAGGGGGGCUCGGGAUGGGGGCUGCGGCUGCACGGACCCCCGGGGGUCGUGGAUUUCCCCCCCCCGCCGUGCGGUGGUACGGCCUGCAGGCUGCGGGGGGGAGGGGGGAGCGCGGGGGUGGGGGAAGGAAUAGGGGGGAGCCGGGACGCAGGCACCAGCCCCAUCCCAUCCCAUCCCCAUCCCCAUCCCAUCUGUCCCCAUCCCCAUCUCCAUCCCCAUCUCCAUCCCAUCUCGGUCCCCAUCCCAUCCUCAUCCCCGUCCCCAUCCCCAUCCCUGUCCCAUCCUCAUCCCAUCCCCAACUCCAUCCUCAUUCCCAUCCCAUCCCUAUCCCCAUUCCAUCCCCAUCCCAUUCCAUCUCUGUCCCCAUACCAUCCUCAUCCCUGUCCCCAUCCCUGUCCCAUCCUCAUCCCAUCCCCAUCUCCAUCCUCAUCCCCAUCCCAUCCCCGUGCUCGUCCCGUCCCCAUCCCCAUCCCAUCCCCAACUCCAUCUCCACCCCAUUCCAUCUCUGUUCCUGUCCCCAUCCCGUCCCAUCCCCAUCCCAUCCCCAUCCCAUCUCCAUCCCCAUCCCAAUCCUUGUCCCAGUCCCAGCCCCGCGCGGUCCCACUGCCACCUACCGGCAGCUCCUGCAGGCUCGCCCCCCCCGUGUCACCAAAACCUCUCCCACCGGAGUUCCCCCAGUCCAAACUCUGCCAAAAUAUAACGAUGGAGCUCAUAAUGCCCGUGGUGACGAUGGCCAUCACACCUGGCAGCGGGGGAGCCAGCCCCAAGUCACUUCACUGCUGUAGAGGCAGCAUUUUGGGGGCAGGAUUUUUAUUUUAUUUUAUUUUAUUUUUGUCUUCCUUUCUGCUUUGCAGCUUGGAGCAGCAGCUCCUCCUCCAGCGUGGGGCUGGGAAUGAAAUGGGGGGAGAAAGCGCGGUGAUAAGAAAAAAAAAAUAA
rnacentral:lncRNA from 1 species